rnacentral:rRNA from 1 species
UUGCUAAGUUUGAUGGCGACCGGCGCACGGGUGAGUAACACGUAUCCAACCUGCCCUUUACUCGGGGAUAGCCUUUCGAAAGAAAGAUUAAUACCCGAUGGCAUAGUUCUUCCGCAUGGUAGAACUAUUAAAGAAUUUCGGUCAUCGAUGGGGAUGCGUUCCAUUAGGUUGUUGGCGGGGUAACGGCCCACCAAGCCUUCGAUGGAUAGGGGUUCUGAGAGGAAGGUCCCCCACAUUGGAACUGAGACACGGUCCAAACUCCUACGGGAGGCAGCAUG